rnacentral:lncRNA from 1 species
GAAAAUUAUACAGGAGUGGCUGAAGUUUGAGAAACACUGGCAAAAUGAAACAGAAUUGGUAUUUAUUGGUAGAACUGGUAUGUGUCAAGUUCUCUCCCAUACACUUGGCAUUUUUUAUGAAAAUGGGAAAAGACAAUUAAAACCCAAAUUAACCAUCAGUGCUUUUUCCUUCUGGUGGAGGUGUCAUAAUUCACAUCAGUGGAGAAAUGAAUCUCUGCUCAUUUCCACAAGCAGAAUCUUGUGGGAGAGAGAAGAAAACGGAAAGAAGGGAACUUCAGUCCCUCUGGGCGGGAGGUAAUUCGACUGUUGUUGGGAGGAGCACGUUACAGGCUGUGGAAGUGGAACAGUUGGCCAAAGAGCGAACUGGGGGAGGAAAGAUUAAUUACUUUUCAAUUAAUGAGAGGAGCCCCCAGAAAAUGGGCAGAGAAGAGAAAAAAGAUGUGGAUGCAUCUUCCUAUUCCCCCCAGCGUUAGUAAUGUCGACCAUGUGCGAACACUUUCUAUUUUACUGCUGUUAAUCAGGAUGGAGCAUAGUUGUGGGAGGAAGGGGAGGCUAGAAGGCAUUGAAGAAUGCCUGUCACCUCCCACUCAUGUUGUUAUUGACUGUUGUCACCUAUUAUGUGCAAGGUGCAAGUGCCAGGCCCUGGGAACAGAAAGGGGCAAAGACACACAGUCCUGACAGCAUAGAACUUGCAGUCAAAUAGAGGAGUGGGUAUAUAAAUAAAAUACUGAUAUAAAUAAAUACAUAAUUACAAACUGUGAUAAAUGUUGUGGGAAAACAUAACUGGGUGCUGUGGACAGUCCAAGAGGGCUUUAUCAGAUUCCUGCCUGCCACUUCAAAUCCCUUUGGCCUCUUUUCCAAUUCCAGGGAUGCUAUGGCAACCAGAUCUACUGCCAGCUUCCACCAGUUUCCCACAAGUGCAAUCUGACUUCACCUCAAGCCUCCAGUUCCCAGGCUCCUAUCCCAGAGGAAAUCCACUUGCACACAUGCAACUCAGAGCAUGGAAGAGCUAAUACCCUAGGAGGAGCCACUGCAUAAAUGCUUACUUCUUUUUGAAGUCAGCUGGCCGAAGGUAGUGAGUUAUCUCAAUUGAUUGUUCGCUUUCAGUUACAGAUUAAGCUCCUUUUUCUACUCUUUCUCCCCUUCUCAUACUGCAUUUGACUAGUCUUACAAUAAAUAAAUAAAAUUCAUAAAUUAUAUUAAAACUACAGUAAUAAAAACUUAAGAUUCAUCACUUCCUAAUUCUUUUACUCCAUUAUCUGUACUCUUGAAGCUAUUUACAUCUAUUGUGUCUGUUUGGUGGAGAUGCUUUUUAAUGGUGGGCUAUGUUGCAUCUCUUCCCAAGUCCACAUUCAGUAACACCACAUUAAUAGCUUGACAUUAGCCAUGGUGGAAGUAUUUACAUCACAAAAAUAGGCAAAUGCUACAAAUUAGGAUCUAAUUGUUUUGUGGAUUGUCUAAGCUUAAGAAAAUGAUAGAAAAAAUGUUAAUAAAAUAGAUUAAACUUCAAGGUAUGUUAUGUCUAUAGCAGUUAUGAAUAGCACAAAAAAGCAUGUCUAAACUAUUAUUUGACUCAGAAAAAAACAAACAUCAUUGAUGAACGAGUAAAGUCAACACACAUCAUCCUAUUUUCACUUUCAUCUUAUUAGUGUAGAUGAAUCAACAUUUAUAUUGUAAUUGUACUUGCUGUCAAUCACAAACAUAGGUUAGCUAUGAAUACAAGACCAGCAAAAAUCAAUGAAAGCAUUCUGUGAACAUCAAUCAGCUAUAUAGAAUUUACCAUAAAAAGCAAUAUACAUUUUGUUAUUUGGAAAUUAUGCACUAUACAUAAUCUAUGUCAGUAAAAUUUAUAAUAAACUUUUGUACAUGUACAUACAUGCCUGCAUUUUUUCCUGAAGAACAGGUUGCUAAACAUUCAUCAAUACCCCACUGCUUCUUACUCAUAUAAGUCUUUGUUUCAGAGACUCUGCUUUGAGGUCAACCCAGGAUGAGACCAUUGUAAUCAGGUGUGGCUGUAGAAAGUCGACCCUCAGAAUAGGAAUUUGGAGCUAGAUAACUCACCAAAAAGAUAGCAGUAGGGAGGGUGUUUAUAAACCUUGGUGUGCAGUAGCAUCACAGUUACUAAGACUCUUACCUGAGUGACUGCGAUGAGAUGCAAAUGGAAGAUGAAGCAUUGCGUUAUGUGGUGGGUGUAAUGCUUGAAUGGUAGGGGCUAUGAUAAUUAUACGGAUUAUAAGGAUUGCUAUGAUAAAUACAAGGAGUAUGGAGCUUGUAGAUCUUGAUUCUACCCAUUUGCUAGAGCUUUGGCUGUAUUUCAG